AUGAACGCUGGCGGCGUGCCUAACACAUGCAAGUCGCACGGAGUCCAGCCUUAGAGACCUUCGGGUCAAAGAGGGGAAGACUGAGUGGCGGACGGGUGAGUAACACGUGGGCAACCUGGCUCAUAGAGGGGGAUAACAGAGAGAAAUUUCUGCUAAUACCGCAUAAGCACACACUGCCGCAUGGCAGAGUGUGAAAAGAGAAUCGCUAUGAGAUGGACCCGCGUCUGAUUAGCCAGUUGGCAGGGUAAGAGCCUACCAAAGCGACGAUCAGUAGCCGAUUUGAGAGGAUGAACGGCCACAUUGGGACUGAGACACGGCCCAAACUCCUACGGGAGGCAGCAGUGGGGGAUAUUGCACAAUGGGGGGAACCCUGAUGCAGCGACGCCGCGUGAGUGAAGAAGUAUUUCGGUAUGUAAAGCUCUAUCAGCAGGGAAGAUAAUGACAGUACCUGAAUAAGAAGCCCCGGCUAACUACGUG
rnacentral:rRNA from 1 species